CUGGAGGCAGAGUUAUUUGCAGACAGACCAGCACAUUAACUUUUUAAAACACACACACACACACACAUCCGUACAAUUAAUUGAGGUGUAUGACACCUCCCUCUGCUGGACAGUUUGGACAACAGCCUCACACCAAACUACAUUUUCCGUUUGAACCAACAAAGCUAUUGUACAUCGAUGGGAGACCGGGUUGGUGGUUUGAACGUGUUGUAGUAGCAGAGAAUGGCCUGCGGGGGCAGUAUGUACAUUGUUAAAUACAUGGAUAGGCUUGAAUUUAGUAGUAACAUGGAUGUUUGAUAUUUAGCUUGACAUUAACCAAGUCAAAGGACAAUUAAUGAAACGCACCAAACAUGCAGAAGUCAAUGUAGGAUUUUAAUAUACAGUAUAAACAAAAACACUUGACAGAAGUUCAAUACAUACUUUUGUAAAGGAAAGCAGAGGAAAACAUUUUCCCAAAUUAAUAAUUUCAAAAUGACACCACCAUUCACGAAAGCUAAUGAAGGGGUUUGUGUAAAACCAGUCCUCCCUGACCAGCUCUGUCCCCGACUCUAAACCCUGACUCUCAACCCUAACGCUGAACCCUCCGAGGGCAGGAAGACGUUCCUUCAGUGUAAAGGUUCAAGAAGGCACUCCUUCAGAGUAAAGGUUCGAACCACGGAGAAGGAAGAAGAAGGUAAGGAUUAGAGAUUAGUGAAGUAGUGAGGUUAGUGACAGAUGUGAGCAGUGGUGUAGUCUAUUUUAUUGUAGUGGGUAUACUGUGAUGAUUCCCUUCCAGCCUCGUACAAACCCGUCCCACCGGUACGUGUACGUGUGUGGCGCUUAUGGGGUGUCGCACCACACUCACCAACGCAGGGGUCUACAACCCGCUGAUUUAAGAGUAUAACGAUUAUAAACAAUCAUGGAAAGCUGAAUAGGUUUAUCAGUUUUAAUAACAGUAUGUACAAAUAGAACACAAAAAUGACAAGUUGUCCUUUGUAUAUCUAUAGUAGCAAUAGCACAUGCUAAACAAGGACAAAAUCUACUCAAAAUAAUUUAAUGAACUGUUUACAUCCAUGGCUAACUAGUGCAUGAGAAGGAGAUGACAGGAGACUAAUGUUUCCCUCUUUCAAUUGCUCUAAUUUUAGCUCUUACUGUUGUUAUCUAACAUACCAUACAGUAAUUGAAUUGUGUAAAAGUGUGAAAUUACUGCACCUUAAAAAUGACCAUGAAUUAGCUAUACUCUCAUUUGCAUAGUGAUUAACAUUAUGAAUUUCAAUUGUGUAUACCAACUGUAUGUUGGCUGACAUUUACCUAUAACUUUUUUUCCCUCCAAUCUAACCAAGGAUGCCUGUUUUUAAAUUCCCUAGCCUGACACCCAGUCUGAAAGGCUGGCCAGGGGUUCUCAUCUAAAAGUAACAAGGAGAUAUAAAGUGGGAUUAAAACAUUGUCUUCUGUUGACUACUUAUUAUGUGGUUUACACAUUAAUAUGGGAGGACUGGACACACACACAAACACACACACACACACACACGCACACACACGCACGCACACGCACGCCCAUGCACGCACACACAGGCACACACACGCGAGAAGGAGGGGCUCGGCCCGCCAACUAACGUGCAGAGAUGCAGGGGCAGCUUCGCGCUUCGUAACAGAGACAGGGCAGAGCGCGUGCGCGCAGGGGGAAUUUUAUGAAUGGUGAAUGUAGGAGAUAACUUCCCCUGCUUAAAGUAUUUUUUUUUGCAGUUAUACCCAACCGAUAUUUCCGAAAAAUAAACCCAGAAGUGAAAGAUCUGUCACAAGACGGUUGAUAGGCCUACGUAUCCGUGCACAUUUUUAAGUGGGUAUACGCAAAUCCUGGUGCGUUCCUAGUGGGUAUACGGCGUAUACCUGCGUAUCACGUAGACUACACCACUGCAUACACACACACACACACAGACAGACAGACAGACAGACAGACAGACAGACAGACAGACAGACAGACAGACACACAAAAACACACAAACACACUGUGUGUAACGUGUUUUUUUUUACACACACACACACACACACACACAGAAACAAACACACACACACACACACACACACACACACACACAGAAACAACCAGCCCCUAACACACACCCCCUACCUCCACUCUCCCACGUCACCAAGACAUCCUUUAAAACGAUACAAGCAGUUCAGCACCAAGCAGUCACCCCCCACGCCGUCACCACCAACACCCCCCCACCAGGGACGGUCAGACAGGGGAACCAAUGAGCAGAGUCAAUUAAACCUGCUUGGCCCCCCCACCAGGGACGGGACGGUCAGACAGGGGAACCAAUGAGCAGAGUCCAUUA
ensembl:lncRNA